rnacentral:rRNA from 1 species
UACAGAGGUCCCAAGCGUUGUUCGGAUUCACUGGGCGUAAAGGGUGCGUAGGCGGUUUGGUAAGUUUGGCGUGAAAGCCCCGGGCCUAACCCGGGAAUGGCGCUGAAAACUGUCGAACUUGAGGAUUGGAGGGGGGACUGGAAUUCUUGGUGUAGCAGUGAAAUGCGUAGAUAUCAAGAGGAACAUCAGUGGCGAAGGCGGGUCCCUGGACAAAUCCUGACGCUGAGGCACGAAAGCUAGGGGAGCAAACAGG